UAACUUCCUCUGCCAAAAAUCUCCCUUUGUGAAAACUCCACAAAAUUAAAACCUAGCCUCCAAAACUUAUCUCCGCCAAAACACCAUGAAAACCCAUCUCCGUCGAAGCCCUCCUCUGUGCCGCCCCCACCUAGCCUCCUCCGCCACUCCUCCGUGCCGAUUGCGACCUACCCUCCUCCGCCACUCCUUCGCGCCAUCACCUAGCUUCCUCCGCCACUCCUCCGCGCUGCCUAUGACCUAGCCUUUGCCACUCCUCCAUGUCGCCCGCGACCCAAUCCUAACCCUUCAAAGCCACCAAAGUUUUCAUGCCUCUUCCGACACCCCCACCCUGACAAUCGAGGACUCCUUAAAUGUCUCUCGGUUCUGACAUCUUCGAUCACUUCCUCGCCAACCUCACUUCCCAAAUCGUAGCUAGAAAGUCUCACGCACAGUCAACCAGCGCAACUUCUCAGGAAAAAAGUUCAAUUUUUUUUUUGGAUUUUUCAUCAUCUGUCACUAAUUUCAUGGAUUGUUUAUGGUAGGAGCUUGGUACUCGUUGCUUUCAAUCGAAGGCCGACUUUCUACUUGGAGUUGUUGAAGUGCAAGGGAGUAGACACAGAACAUAUGGAUAUAUGUAAAUAUAUACUUCUAUCAACGAAGAGUGAGCGCUAGUCCGUGAGGCAACAAGGAGCAUACUUCUGUCAACGAAGAGGAGGCAGUGAGCACCAAUCGGUGAGGCAACAAGGGGCAGCUGCACACGAGGUGGCAGCUACCCCGCUAGGCAACAAGCUACUGCUUCGAGUGUGGCAGGCUCGCGAGGCGGCCACCGCCUCGCCAGGAAUGAUCGGCCGCCUCAUGUUGUUGAAUUUUAAACAAAGCCCGUUGGCUUUAUAGAUAUUCCAUUGAUAGAUAAGUAGUAGCAAUUCAAUAUGUUUCAUAUUUAUCUUA